GACGAACGCUGGCGGCGUGCUUAACACAUGCAAGUCGAACGGUGAAAGCGGAGCUUGCUCCGCUGGAUCAGUGGCGAACGGGUGAGUAACACGUGGGCAACCUGCCCCUGACUUCGGGAUAACUCCUCGAAAGAGGUGCUAAUACCGGAUACGAAUCCUGCAGGCAUCUGCGGGAUUGGAAAGUUUUUCGGUCAGGGAUGGGCCCGCGGCCUAUCAGCUUGUUGGUGAGGUAGUGGCUCACCAAGGCGACGACGGGUAGCCGGCCUGAGAGGGCGAACGGCACCGCUGGGACGGGGACACGGCCCAGACUACGACGGGAGGCAGCAGUGGGGAAUAGUGCGCAAUGGGCGAAAGCCUGACGCAGCAACGCCGCGUGAGGGAUGACGGCCUUCGGGUUGUAAACCUCGUUCAGCAGGGAAGAAGCGAAAGUGACGGUACCUGCAGAAGAAGCACCGGCUAACUACGUGCCAGCAGCCGCGGUAA
rnacentral:rRNA from 1 species